UCGGGGACGUCUUAUCUCGGACGAUAAAAGCGAUAACGUCGAUGACGACGACCCCAGUCCAGUAUUCCAGUUCACAAUCACGAGUCAGUUGUACUCAGUAGUCACAACAUAUUUUGCCGUUGCGGACGGAACGUUGUAGUUGUCGGCUUGUCGCCAGUCUUACUUACUGCACGCACGGACAUCGUCUCACGAUAGCAGUAAUAAUAAUAUUUCGUUUUAUCAUUUUCUGACGAUAACCGUUGCUUUUAUUUCAACCGACGCACGACUGCGGAGACAAAUUAUCAAUCGACAGCAUCCUUGGUGGUCCAGAUCCGUUUUCAUCCCGUUUGACGACGGACCCUCACACACUCGCGCCCCUAAGCUCGACUACUAGCUCCACCCGCCCACGCACGACCGCGCUCUUCGACCAUGUCUAUGGGAGAUAAAGUUACAAAUCUUUGGAAAAGGGCCAGUGAUGAAGGAGAAAAUAGGGAUGAAAUUCCUUGGCACCUAAAAUAUGGUAGCAGAACAUUGGGGACAUUUGCAGGCAUUGUUAAUUUAUUCACUGGUGUUUGGAAUGGACUAGGAUUGAUUUUUUUAAACACAGAUUGUUUGUUUGGUGGAAUUAUACAAUUACUUCUUGGUAUUUUACUAAUUGCAUUAGAAGCACCUUUCCUUUGUGUGUUUAUUGAUUAUAUGCAGAAAGUUAGUGAUGUUGCUGAAAAUAAACCCUACUGGACUAGAGCUAUUUUAUAUGCUGGGCUAUCGUUAAUACCAAUUCUUUUAUGUUUUGGCCCUAGUACAUUAAUAGCUAGUGCUUUAGUAUUUUGUACUGGUUUAUUGUAUGGUCUUAUGUCAGUUGGGAAAAAAGGAUCUAGGGAAGACAUGGGAGCUAUUGCUUCUCCUGUUGAUAACGUCUCUCAACCCAUGGGCGGACAUCACACAACUUUAAUGGAAGAUCCAGAUGUGUGGCGUCCCACUUAAGGCAAACUGAACUAAAUUUUUAAAGUGUAUUAUUGCUGCUUAUGUUACUGAGCACCAGCAGAACAAAUGAAAACAACUGCAUCCACAUUAGAGCCAUGAGACAUAUACAACAUUAGUGACAUAUAUACAAUAUAAUACAGUAUAAUACUUUAGAAUUCACUAAAACCAAUUAAAAAUAAUGUGUUGGUUCCCUAGUGAUUUUAUUACCACCACUAUCCAAAUGCAUUCCAUUAUACCAUGGUCUCCUAAUUAAUGAUACUCAUUUAUCUAUGGUAAUCAAGUUCAACAAAAUUAAUAAAUUGAUUCAAUAUGUAUCUUUUUAUAGAUAUUUUUGAUGCCCAUUAAUAGUAUCCCUCUACAUUUCACCCCAUUCAAAUUUAUAAUAGGGAUUCACAUAUAUAUCUAAUAACCUUGAAUAAGAUUAUAUUUAUAUUUAUUCUAUUUUAAUCUUAUUGCAUGCCAUUAAUAUAAUAUACAUUAAUUUAGCUGUCAUGAUUUAAAACAAUUUUUAAUGGGAUUAUUGAAAUUUUAUAACUAAAAUAUAAAUAUAACAAUUAGAAAGUGACUGCAGAAUCUCUAUUGAAUCAUUCUUAUAAUAAAUUAUAUUCAAUAUUAUUAACUUGUAAUCUUAAAACUAUUUACUUAGUUGAAUAAGUUUUAGGUCACAUAUAAAGUAACAUUAACUACUUUUAAAUAUUUUGUUAUUACUAUUUUCCCUUAAGUUUAACUUAUUUUAAUCAUCCCAAAGAACAUACUCGCACCGUUAUAACUCUUGAAUAUGUUCCUGGAAUUAAUUUAUAAUAUUUAUCAAUUUAUCAUAUUAUAAUAAAAACAAAUUUAUAUACUAUAUGAUAUAUAUAUAUAUAUAUAUAUAUCAUCCUUAAUAACAAAUAUUUAUAUAAUUAUUUAUUAACAUGAGUGUAAUAUUAUUUAAUUUAUACUAGAAAUCAAUUAAUAAUUAAACAUUAUCGAAUAAAAUUCAAAAUUUUCUAUUGUGUUUUUUAAAUGACACUAUUAAAAAAUAAUUUUCAAAGCAACAAAAUUGUUAUCUUAAAAUUAAUUAAUUAAAUAAAAACACAAAUAAUAAUUAUGUUCAUCAUUACUGUUAUUUUAACUUCAAAGAUUAAAGUGUAACAAAAAUUAUGAAAACGCAAUGUUUCAUACCAUUGUUAUUUACUUAUAAAAUGUAUUUAAAAAUUAUUUACAUUUAAAAUGUAUUUAAAAUUAAAUUAUUUAAAGCAAAUAAAUGUGUUUAAAUACAAUUAUGUAUCAUUUGAUAUUACAGAUAUGUAUAAUCCAUGUAUAUUCUAAUAUACAUUCAGGUUAUUCAGGUUUUUAGAUGAUAAGGACUUGAAUUGAUGAUUUUUUUAUGAAUUUUAAAUGUAUUCCCUUUUAUUAUUUUUUAACAAUGUUGGUAACAUUCUCCAAAACAAACAUUUUUUACAAUUUAAGACAGUUUAAUAAACAUGCAGCUUAUCCAUAUCUUUAAUAUCUUUGAAUAAAAUAUAAUAAUUGUAUUUUCACAAUGUUAAGAGGAUGUAAGCGCAGUUUUUCUUUUCUCUCUCUGACCCAAGCGCAACCCAUCUUCCCAAGUAUAAGAAUUAUUUGUUAAUAUUUAUUGUUUUCGAAAAUGUCAGCGGUCUUUUUUGUACUUAUCAUUUUCUUACUUUUAAUUAUAUCAAUUGUGUGAGUACAAAUAUAUAGACAAUUUGGGUUUUUUCCUUCACAAUAAUGUACUAUAAUAUGUAAGUUACUUAAUAAAAUUAUUAUAAUAAUAUCUUUAAAUUCUAAAAAUUGAAUGGAAGCUUUUUAAGUCCCUUUUUAUAGAAAUAUUUUUAUUUUUAAUAAACCAUAUUAAUUGAAUUUAGCCCUUAGAUAUUAACUGUUUUUAUGAAAUAUAGGCAAAAACUUAUUAUCUAUUAAUUAAUUUGACUUUUGAAUAUGUCAUAGUUAAACAUUGAUUAUUAUUUAUAGUUUUAAUUAUAAGUUUAGACUAUAAAUUAUUUUAAUAUUCAUUGUAAACUUAUAAUUGUUAUGAAUUGUUGUAUAAUUGGCAAAACAUAUGUUACCUACUAAAUUAAUACACAUAAUAGUAGAGUUUAUUAAUAUUAUAAUAAUAUAUCACUAUACUUGCAUACCUUACUACAAUUUUAUGGGUUUUAUAAUAAUAUUUUCAUCAGUAUUCAAACAAAUUAUUAACUAUUGUAUUAUUUAAUAUGACAUUUAAAAAAGUUAUUUCGAAAAUAAAAAAUUAGAAGUAUA